AAAAAAAGAGAAACGUCCCGUUCUUUUUCAUAAGAAUGGGUUCUAUUCCCUUAAACCGUGUCUACAUACCUUUGUUGCUUUGGCAGGCCGCCUUCGGGCGUCGGCUCCGGCUGAUAGUGCCUGCCAGAGGACCCAAACUCUAUGUUUAGUGAUGUCUGAGUACUAUAUAAUAUUUAAAACUUUCAACAACGGAUCUCUUGGUUCUGGCAUCGAUGAAGAACGCAGCGAAAUGCGAUAAGUAAUGUGAAUUGCAGAAUUCAGUGAAUCAUCGAAUCUUUGAACGCACAUUGCGCCCCUUGGUAUUCCGAGGGGCAUGCCUGUUCGAGCGUCAUUAUAACCACUCAAGCCUGGCUUGGUAUUGGGGUUUUCGCGUGUUCGCGGCCCUUAAAAUCAGUGGCGGUGCCGUCUGGCUCUAAGCGUAGUAAUUUCUCUCGCUAUAGGGUUCCGGUGGUUACUUGCCAAAACCCCCCAUUUUUUCUAGGUUGACCUCGGAUCAGGUAGGGAUACCCGCUGAACUU
rnacentral:rRNA from 1 species